rnacentral:rRNA from 1 species
AUUGAACGCUGGCGGCAUGCCUUACACAUGCAAGUCGAACGGUAACAGGUCUUCGGAUGCUGACGAGUGGCGAACGGGUGAGUAAUACAUCGGAACGUGCCUAGUAGUGGGGGAUAACUACUCGAAAGAGUGGCUAAUACCGCAUGAGAUCUACGGAUGAAAGCAGGGGAUCGCAAGACCUUGUGCUACUAGAGCGGCGGAUGGCAGAGUAGGUAGUUGGUGGGAUAAAAGCUUACCAAGCCGACGAUCUGUAGCUGGUCUGAGAGGACGAUCAGCCACACUGGGACUGAGACACGGCCCAGACUCCUACGGGAGGCAGCAGUGGGGAAUUUUGGACAAUGGGCGCAAGCCUGAUCCAGCAAUGCCGCGUGCAGGAUGAAGGCCUUCGGGUUGUAAACUGCUUUUGUACGGAACGAAAAGCCCCGGGUUAAUACCCUGGGGUCAUGACGGUACCGUAAGAAUAAGCACCGGCUAACUACGUGCCAGCCGCCGCAGUAA